ACUACGGGUGGCAGCAGUCGAGAAUCAUUCACAAUGGGGGAAACCCUGAUGGUGCGACGCCGCGUGGGGGAAUGAAGGUCUUCGGAUUGUAAACCCCUGUCAUGUGGGAGCAAAUUAAAAAGAUAGUACCACAAGAGGAAGAGACGGCUAACUAUGUGCCAGCAGCCGCGGUAAUACAGAGGUAUCAAGCUUUGUUCGGCAUCACUGGGCGUAAAGUGGGCGUAGGCUGUGUCGUAAGUUAUGUGUGAAAGGCGCGGGCUCAACCCGCGGACGGCACAUGAUACUGCGAGACUAGAGUAAUGGAGGGGGAACCGGAAUUCUCGGUGUAGCAGUGAAAUGCGUAGAUAUCGAGAGGAACACUCGUGGCGAAGGCGGGUUCCUGGACAUUAACUGACGCUGAGGCACGAAGGCCAGGGGAGCGAAAGGGAUUAGAUACCCCAGUAGUC
rnacentral:rRNA from 1 species